ACCAAUUUGGCGGAGAAACGCGCAAAGUUUAGGACUUUGAAACGGUAACACCAAUUGGUA
rnacentral:tRNA from 1 species